rnacentral:tRNA from 1 species
CAGUAUGUGGUGUAGUGGUUUGAGCAUUGGACUAUGACUUUGGAGACCAGGGUUCAAAUCCCUGCACAGUUA